rnacentral:tRNA from 1 species
GCGCCGAUAGUCUAAUGGCUAUGAUCCCGGCCUUCCAAGCCGGUGGUCCGGGUUCGAAUCCCGGUCGGCGCA